GAUGAACGCUAGCUACAGGCUUAACACAUGCAAGUCGCGGGGUAACAUCUGGUAGAGCUUGCUCUUCCAGGAUGACGACCGGCGCACGGGUGAGUAACGCGUAUCCAACCUGGCCCAUACCACGGGAUAGCCUGUCGAAAGGCGGAUUAAUACCGUAUGCUGUCAUUAAGAUGCAUAUAUUGAUGACGAAAGGACUGGCGGUAUGGGAUGGGGAUGCGUCUGAUUAGCUUGUUGGCGGGGUAACGGCCCACCAAGGCGACGAUCAGUAGGGGUUCUGAGAGGAAGGUCCCCCACAUUGGAACUGAGACACGGUCCAAACUCCUACGGGAGGCAGCAGUGAGGAAUAUUGGUCAAUGGGCGGAAGCCUGAACCAGCCAAGUAGCGUGCAGGACGACGGCCCUAUGGGUUGUAAACUGCUUUUAUGCGGGGAUAAAGUGGGCCACGCGUGGCCUUUUGCAGGUACCGCAUGAAUAAGGACCGGCUAAUUCCGUGCCAG
rnacentral:rRNA from 1 species